rnacentral:lncRNA from 1 species
CUGAGUUGAAAAGGAAGCUGCGAAGGUAUACGGUGGCCUCCCCUACUCAGACGCCCAUGCUGGCCGCCCCCAACCUCCCUGCCCACCAACUCCCAGGCUUAUUCACCAACCACUCCACCAGCUCUGACCCUGACUUCUGGGGUUCCCAUCUCAGUCCUCAGCCUGUGCUGCUGCCCCCUGAAGAGCAUCCUUCCAGGCCCCCGUCGGCUGGCCGGGGCUUAGCUCUAAGGUUACUCCAGAGGCCGUCCUGACCAGUCUGAUGCCGCCCCUCCCUGAUCACUGUCUUGGCCCCAUUACAAUUUAUGCUCUGGUGCCUUGGGAUGGAGUCACUGUCCAUGUUGCCAGAGACAGUGCGGCCAGGUGGACUCUCCCCUGGAGCUGGAGUCUGAGUCCAGCCCAAGUCCAGGGCAGGCACUCCGAGAAUGAGUGUUCUGCCUGCUGGGUCUCCUGAGGGCCAAGGGGCUCUGCUGGAGCUGGGGGCAUGGCUUGGCACCCGCAUCCCUGUCUGUGCUUCUCCUACUUAAGGAUCCUUUGUCUGACCUGGCUCUCCUACCAGAUGCCAUCACCUAUCUGCAGCCUGUGUCCUCAGCACUGUCCAGCAUAUAGUAGGUGCUCAGUAAAUGUCUGGGGCAGAACCCACUCACUUGCCUGUAUGUGCUAGGCCCUGUGCAUGUGUCACAGCAGCCAAGGGACAGACAAAAAACAGGCCCAGGAGCUGCUCAGAGCCAAGCUACCUUCUGGGAAGGUUUGACAGCGCCUAUGGGGUCCUGGGACCUGAUGUAUCCACUCCAGCCAGUCCUGCCCGUGGAUUCAGCUCUGUUCUCACGGGGGACCUGGAAAGUGAACAAGAUGCACCCACGAAGUUGGGUGGUGGGGGGGGACAUGGAGGGACACACAGGGAGCUCAGGAGGAAUGGGCAGGGAGGUCAGUAGGUGACCUGGGAUGAUGGCGAGGGGCCAUGCAGAAGUCUGGGAAGAAGGUUUGAGGGCAAGGAAGCCUUUGCACAAGUCCUGUGAGCUGGGCUGGUGUUGGGGAAGCAGUGAGGUGCGGGGGCAGGUAGGGGCAGUCGCAUAGAGCUGGAGAUGACCAACUGGGCAGAGUGUGAUGGGAGGGUUUCCUAACCUCUUUCCUAUAACAGAGAGAUUAUUAGAUAGAUUGAUAGAUGGUAGAUACGUGGGUGGAUGGAUGGAUGGAUGAACAGACGGACGGACGGAUGAUGGAUGGAUGGUCAGAUAGAUUAGAUGAUUAGAUAGAUUAGAUAGAUAAUAGAUGAUAGAUGCUGGAUGGUCAGAUGGAUGAUUAGAUAGAGAUGAUUGAUAGAAGCUGUUGUAUUUGAUGGAAAAGAGUAAAAGAUGAAAAGAUUGACUGAUAGAUGAGAAAUAGAUGACAUAUGGAUAGCUUGAUAGAUGACGGAUAGAAGAUAGAUGUGAAGGCAGGCAUAGAUCUCAGUGGGUUGUUCCAAGGUGAAGAGGUACCGCUGUGCCAGCCCGAAGCCCAGUCUCGGCCCCUCACUCCCUUACAGGGAUCCCUUGCUCAGGUCUCUUCAUGGCUUAGGUGCCCUGUGCGUGUCCUUGACACUGCUUAUUCCUGCCCACCUAAAAGCACUGGAAGUGUCUUCUAAGUCUUGUUGGAUCUACAGGCUCCCUCUCCCAGGGCAGUGCUUUCUAUCUGGUUCAUCCUUGAAGGACCUGGCCCAUUCAUUCCCAUGUGCAGAGUAAGGAUGAGGGCAGCUCAUGUCAGAUGAGUGGGGAGGCAACUGGACCUCCAUUCAAGGUGCUGGGCCCAGGCCUGGUACGGCCAGGCAGGGAGGAGCACCUGAUUCUGGGUGUAUUGGCCAUUUGUGACAGAACCCACGCCACACCCUACGCCCAGCCCUCCCCUCCAUUUCCUAGGGCCUCCUCUUCCACCUGUGUUCAAUCAGAGUGGAGUGCCUGUUUCUUCACUGCAUUAUUCUUUUUUUUUUUUUUU